AUUGUUCAACACAAUUCCAUGAUAUCUAGAAAUUUUAUCCAAGUAGAAUGCCAUCUAGCUUCCUAAAACAUCGAAAACGAAGCACUGCACGUAUUCGACCAAGCUCUUUCAUAUGCUCUUUCAGGUUCAACAAUAUUCAAUGCUAAGCUCAAAGGUUUACCUUUGGUUUGUUGAUUGCAUCACUGCAAUGGGGAUAGUCAUGUGUCAAAUACAUGGUAUACACUUAAGUAUAUCCAUAUAACCACAUUGGAUGACUUCGUUCCCUAAUGGUUUCAUGUCAAAAUCUAGUGAGCACCAAGCAGUCAAUCCAGUAGGCACAUCUAAGCAAGUAUAAGUCACCGGUUGGGCCUCCACAGUGAAACAAGAAACUAAUGAUGACUGCAAGCCAAGAAAAACUCAAGUUACAAAAAACAUGCUAUUUUUUUUAACACAUUAUGCUUUUGGUCAAAGAAAUGUGAAAU
rnacentral:lncRNA from 1 species